rnacentral:rRNA from 1 species
GACGAACGCUGGCGGCGUGCUUAACACAUGCAAGUCGUACGGUAAGGCCCUUUCGGGGGUACACGAGUGGCGAACGGGUGAGUAACACGUGAGUAACCUGCCCACAACUUUGGGAUAACGCUAGGAAACUGGUGCUAAUACUGGAUAUGUGCCCCUGCUGCAUGGUGGGGGUUGGAAAGCUCCGGCGGUUGUGGAUGGACUCGCGGCCUAUCAGCUUGUUGGUGGGGUAGUGGCCUACCAAGGCGGCGACGGGUAGCCGGCCUGAGAGGGUGACCGGCCACAUUGGGACUGAGAUACGGCCCAGACUCCUACGGGAGGCAGCAGUGGGGAAUAUUGCACAAUGGGCGCAAGCCUGAUGCAGCAACGCCGCGUGCGGGAUGACGGCCUUCGGGUUGUAAACCGCUUUCGGCAGGGACGAAGCUUUUUGUGACGGUACCUGCAGAAGAAGCACCGGCUAACUACGUG